rnacentral:misc_RNA from 1 species
UCCAGCGUGACAGAAAAGUAAACGUACAAGCUAUAAAUCAUUCAUUCAUAUCAUAACAUAACAAGUUUUUGCGUAAAACAAUGUUAAUGAUAUGGUUGAAGUUCUGAAGUCAUCCUUUGAAGGAAUCUUGCCAGUUAUAGAGGCAUGCAUCAAGGAUUGCUCAUUUAUUGCAAUUGAUACAGAAUUUACAGGACUAUCAAGCAAUGAGUUGAACAAAAACAGCCUGUUUGACGAUGGAGCAGCACGUUACAUUAAGCAAAAAGAUCACAUAAAGCAGGUGACUGUGUCACAGAUUGGUAUUUCAAUUUUCACUGAAGUUCCAAAGGAAAACAGGUAUGAAGCAUCUACCUUCAACUUCUUCUUGUUCCCAGUCAGCAUUGGCCCGGUGGAUGUGCGAUUCACUUGUCAGUCGUCGUCCCUGCGAUUUCUUUGUCAGCAUAAUUUCGAUUUCAAUAAGUUUGUGUAUGAUGGCAUACCAUACUUGAAUGAGGAGCAGGAGAUACUAUUUCACCAGGCAUUGGAUGACUCUUUGAUGGUUUUUGAAUCCGAAAACAACUUUGAUAGAAGAGAAAUGAAAUUACUGAGCACAACGAUCGCUGAAUGGCUUGCAACUGCGAAGGAAGAAGAUACCAUCAGACUAGAGAAACCGGCCGGUGUUUCGGACUACUCGAUCUACACUCAGCUGAGACAGACGUUCCCUGGUAUUUCAAUCUGCUGCAAGGAUGACACCCACGUGGAAUGUCAAAAGUUAGAAGAAUCCAAACGAAUAAGCAAGCAGCUAGAUGAGCAGGAGAAGGAAAGGAUACUGGACGGCAUCUUGGGCUUCACACGUGUGUUUCGCCUGAUGGUCAAGCACCGCAAGCCCCUGAUCGGCCACAACUGUAUGAUGGACCUCAUGUUCAUCUACGAAAAGUUCUACAGGCCACUGCCUGACAAAUAUGCAGACUUCAAGAGAACACUGAACGAGCUUUUCCCAUUUUUGAUUGACACGAAACAUGUAUCGUCACACCUGAGGCCGCAAUUUAAAGAAACUGAAUUGUUCAACAAUACAGGUCUGAUGAAUCUCUACCAAGCCUUUUCGAGCAAAGAAGGAAUGUACAUCGUACUGUUUAGCCCUUCUGUCUCGCAUUCCCACGCUUACACCAGAUACAAGAACAAGAGCAUGAUUCACGAGGCAGGCUACGAUGCCUACAUGGCUGGAUACAUUUUCGUCAGAUUGGCCCAUUUGGUUGCCAUGCAAGGGGUCAGAGUAUUGAAGGACCUGAUCCAGUUUCUGUGAGACCAGAGUGGCUCUUAGUGCAAUCCAAGAAGCGAGCAUAUCCACUCAAGCCUCUGCAGUUGGAAGGCAUGUUCUCUGCUUACGGGUCUGUUGAUGUUCUGCUACAAGGUAAUCGGGAAGCUCUGGUUGCCGUGGGCAACCAUC